rnacentral:rRNA from 1 species
GGGUAGCCGGCCUGAGAGGGCGACCGGCCACACUGGGACUGAGACACGGCCCAGACUCCUACGGGAGGCAGCAGUGGGGAAUAUUGCACAAUGGGCGAAAGCCUGAUGCAGCGACGCCGCGUGAGGGAUGACGGCCUUCGGGUUGUAAACCUCUUUCAGUAGGGAAGAAGCGCAAGUGACGGUACCUACAGAAGAAGCACCGGCUAACUACGUGCCAGCAGCCGCGGUAAUACGUAGGGUGCGAGCGUUGUCCGGAAUUAUUGGGCGUAAAGAGCUCGUAGGCGGCUUGUCACGUCGGAUGUGAAAGCCCGGGGCUUAACCCCGGGUCUGCAUUCGAUACGGGCAGGCUAGAGUUCGGUAGGGGAGAUCGGAAUUCCUGGUGUAGCGGUGAAAUGCGCAGAUAUCAGGAGGAACACCGGUGGCGAAGGCGGAUCUCUGGGCCGAUACUGACGCUGAGGAGCGAAAGCGUGGGGAGCGAACAGGAUUAGAUACCCUGGUAGUCCACGCCGUAAACGUUGGGAACUAGGUGUGGGCGACAUUCCACGUUGUCCGUGCCGCAGCUAACGCAUUAAGUUCCCCGCCUGGGGG